CUGGGCAAAGGUUGAGAAAUCCUUUGUCUGAAGGACACAGAUGGACAAGUCCAGGCAAGUCCUGGUCAAAAGUAGCAAAAUCUUUUGCCUGAAUAUUUGCAGGCCAGGGGCAACAAGAGAGGUAUGCUGCAGCUCAAUGGCUGGCAAGCAAUCUUUUGUGUGAGCUUAUCUUGAGGGAGGUAGCCAUCUCUGAGGGUACUGCAGAUGAGUGACCCAAGCACCCAGGAAUGCCACAAUGGCAGAAGAAGGAGGAUAAAAAAGGGACCAACAACCAUGAGGGUUAAGUGUCUGACAUCAGAAGUCUCAUGCGCCACACAGCAUGUUUGUCACAGAUCUGCAGUGGAAGAGGCCACAGUGCCAUGUGGCCACAUCACGUGAUCAAAGCAGGAUGCUGGAGGCACAUAUGACCUUCUAGCAGCAGAGAAAGACUUGGAGAAUAGCCCUACAUCUUGGAUGCCAGGCACCUAUUACUGCAGUUGAAGUACUAUGAGAUUAGAAUUUAAGAUUAAAAGUGAGGAGCAGAUUUAAGCAAUCAUUACAAAUUUUGUGGUAAAAAUCAUGAUCACAGAAAGACACUUACUCAACCACAAAAGUUUUUAUAAAGUGUCUGUUUAUGUAUUGUAUGCUUUUGAUGUCCAUAAAAACAGGUAUUCAACUUAAA